rnacentral:rRNA from 1 species
GACUAAGAAGUUUCCAAAGAUUCAGUUGGGUCUUGGAAGCAAAGCAGGGUCAGGCCUGGUUAGUACACGGAUGGGAGGCCACUUGGGAAUACUAGGUGCUGUAGGCA